CGACCCUUGGACAUCCAGAGUGAAGGGGGGCCCCCCAAAGUGAUGGGGACUGAACCCCAAAGUGAUGGGGAGUGACCCCUGGACAUGUGGAGUGAAGGGGGGACCCCCAAAGGGGUGGGGAGUGACCCCUGGACAUUUGGAGUGAAGGGGGGACCCCCAAAGUGAUGGGGAGUGACCCCUGGACAUGUGGAGUGAAGGGGGGACCCCAAAGUGAUUGAGGGGACCCCCAAAGUGAUGGGGAGUGAACCCUGGAUGUCUGGAGUGAAGGGGGGACCCCCAAAAGUGAUGGAGAGCGACCCCUGGAUGUCUGGGUUGAUUUUGGGACCCCCAAAGUGAUGGGGAGCGACCCCUGGACAUCUGGAGUGAAGGGGGGACCCCCAAAAUGAUGAGUAGUGACCCCAGGACAUCUGGAGUGAAGGGGGGACCCCCAAAAGUGAUGGGGAGCGACCCCUGGACAUGUGGAGUGAAGAGGGGACCCCCAAAAUGAUGGGGAGCGAUCCCUGGACAUCUGAAGGGGGGACCCCUAAAGGGGUGAGGAGUGAACCCCAAAGUGAUGGGGAGUGACCCCUGGACAUGUGGAGUGAAGGGGGGACCCCAAAAUGAUGGGAGGGACCCCAAAAGUGAUGGGGAGCGACCCCUGGACAUCUGAAGGGGGGACCCCUAAAGGGGUGAGGAGUGAACCCCAAAGUGAUGGGAAGUGACCCCGUGACAUCUGGAGUGAAGGGGGGACCCCCAAAAGUGAUGGGGGGACCCCCAAAGUGAUGGGGAGCGACCCCUGGACAUGUGGAGUGAAGGGGGGACCCCCAAAUGAUGGGGGGACCCCAAAAGUGAUGGGAAGCAACCCCUGGACAUGUGGAGUGAAGAGGGGACCCCCAAAGUGAUUGAGGGGACCCCCAAAAGUGAUGGGGAGCGACCCCUGGACAUGUGGAGUGAAGAGGAGACCCCCAAAAGUGAUGGGGAGCAACCCCUGGACA